rnacentral:rRNA from 1 species
CCCUUAGAUGUUCUGGGCCGCACGCGCGCUACACUGACGAUGGCAACGAGUUUUUCCUUCGCCGAAAGGUGUGGGUAAUCUUUUGAAACAUCGUCGUGCUGGGGAUAGAUCAUUGCAAUUUUUGAUCUUGAACGAGGAAUUCCUAGUAAGCGCGAGUCAUCAGCUCGCGUUGAUUACGUCCCUGCCCUUUGUACACACCGCCCGUCGCUCCUACCGAUUGAAGUUUUCGGUGAGUUGACAGGAGGAUUUUUUUGAAACUGGUUCGCCAGUGGAUUUUAGAUCCAAAUGCCAACGAAUCGAUGGCUUUAGAGGAAGGAGAAGUCGUAACA